rnacentral:rRNA from 1 species
AUACGGAGGAUCCGAGCGUUAUCCGGAUUUAUUGGGUUUAAAGGGUGCGCAGGCGGCCAUUUAAGUCAGCGGUUAAAUCGUGGGGCUCAACCCCAUUCUGCCGUUGAUACUGGGUGGCUUGAUUGCGGUCGAGGUUGGCGGAAUUCGUUGUGUAGCGGUGAAAUGCAUAGAUAUGACGAAGAACACCGAUUGCAUAGGCAGCUGACCAGACCGCAAAUGACGCUCAUGCACGAAAGUGCGGGGAUCGAACAGGAUUAGAUACCCUGGUAGUCCGCACAGUAAACGAUGAAUACUUGUUUUCGGCGAUAUAAUGUCGGAGGCAAAGCGAAAGCGAUAAGUAUUCCACCUGGGGAGUACGCCGGCAACGGUGAAACUCAAAUGAAUUGACGGGG